rnacentral:lncRNA from 1 species
UUACGUUGGCGGCCGACAACGUAACAUCGGGAGUUAGUAGUGAAGGACACUUCCUUACUUUCGGAUGAUUUGGGUUUUAUCUAUUUGAGCGGGGAUGCGAUAGCGUGGGUUACUAACUUGCGCUUUUAUGUUUUGUAGUGACGAUGCCGAUUACACGCUCCCAGUCUGCCGGGGCGGAUGAUGCGGCACACCCCGAGGAGGUCGAGACCUCCGCUACUUUCGGAUCUAGUGAGGUCCGUGACUUGAGGACCCAGCUUGCGGUCCUCACUGAUCUGUUGGCGCAGCAGAC